rnacentral:sRNA from 1 species
AUCUAAACCGUUGUAUCAAUGGCCAAGAUGGACGAUUUUCAGCGGCGUCGUCCGGAAUGGUUCUUACUUCGUUUUGUUUAGUAUUUAUCAUUGUCAACGCCCCUAAAUAUUCUGAUGAAAUCUCUAACAGUUAUUGGGUGUUAGAAGGAGCAGUGCUGAUUCUUGGAGUUUUUUCAUCUAUGGGAUUGUGGAUUUCUGUGCUUAGGCAGAGCAGACGACGACUGAGAAAUGACUCAUACAAAGAUUUAACCCGAAGAAUAAAGAUAGUAUUUUUGUGGAUAUUUGGACUCUUAUGCAUAAUAAUGGCAUGUUACGAUCUGGCUGUAAACUUUGACUGUCUGUUUUUACAUAAGCCAUAUUCCUUUGAAGGACAAUUUGAAUUGGGCAUCACAACGCAUUGUUUUAAAAUAUUAUUUUAUUUAGUUCAACUAGGUUUUUUGAGUUCAUUUGCCGGUUACGCCCUUGUAAUUUCUAUCAUCCAGAAUUACAUGAUUUCUUGGAUUAUCUUAACACAUUUAGUUAUAUGGUUUAUGCACUUUUUCGGAACAAUGCAUAGAAAAAUUGACCCAAACUUGCACAACGAAACAACUAAUCAACCAAACUACUCCUGUUUUAAUCAGCCGAAUAACCAAGUGUUCCGAAAUAAUUUGAAUCCGUUUUUUAAACCAGCUAUCACAGAGUUUAGUUUGUUAGCUGCUGAACUGCUCAUGAUGAUGUGGAUUUAUUCUUCCAGUGAUAUUUCUAAUAAUGAGGAAGACGAAUUCAGUUAUGUUACAGGAGUUAACGAAACAACAUCUUUAAUUCAAGAUCCAGUCGGAAAUCCUUCGAGAAUACCAAAGAGACAUUUCAUCACCAAUACCUUUUAUUUCUGUGUACUGGUUGGAACACUUCUUAGUCUUCCGUUUGUGGUUUCUACCGUUGUGAUUCUAUACUCAGAACAACCCCGUUUUAGACAUUAUGAAGCAUUUUUGACACUUCUUCUUAUAUUUUACAUUGAACACUUUGUUUUGAUUUUGGCGACAUUUGUUCAGGUUCGGAAAUUUUCUCAGUGGAGAGACGUCAGGAUCACAACCUCGUCAAAGAAUAAAAGCAUCCUUCUCCUUAUGACCCUGACAGGAGCUAUAGUCUACAGCACACUCGAAAUUCUGGCUGUUAUCCAAGUAACUACUUGUUCAACGUUUGGUUCUUUAGAUUAUAAAUUCCGCAUCAUAGUUUUUAUGAAGACUUUAUUUGAAAUGAUUACAAUGUUUUUACAAACUUUACUGAUUCGCCAGUCAUGGCACAUGGAGAAAUGCACAACUUUAAACAAAAUACCAACCAUCAAAAGGCUUUUCGGAACCCUUUGUCUGAUCAACUUGGUUUUAUGGCUGGUGUUUACUGUUCUCUAUGACGGGCAUACUCGGACGACGGUGAUUGAGGCGUGUUUUUACGGAAAAGGAUUCUGGUAUCAGAUCCGUGAUGGAGUGUUUCCAAUAACCGUGUUCUACCGUUUUCACGUAUCAAUGCACUUUUACGAACGAUGCAGGAAAUACCAUUAGGUGCAGAAUUUAAACUGCCUUGCUGCAUGUUUUUGAAUUUUUUGAUUGAAUUUUAAUAUUAUAACAAAGCUUGGUUUUGAAAUAAACAUUUACUCUGCUC